rnacentral:tRNA from 1 species
GGUGCCAUGGCUCAAGUAGUAGGGUGCCUGCCUAGCAAGUACAAGGUCCUGGAUUCAAACUCCAGUACCACCA